GAGCGCCUCCUGCGCCGCGACUUCUCCAACUUCUCGGCCUGGCACCAACGCCUGCGGCUCCUGCGCGGCGCCGGCGGCAUCGACCCGGAGCGUCUGCGCCGCGAGCUGGAGCUGGUCCGGAACGCCGCCUUCACCGACCCCCAUGACCAGAGCGCCUGGAUCUACCUGCGCUGUGCCCUGUCCCAGGCCUUGCCCCCCCCCCGCCUCCUCUCCCUAUACCUCCAUAGGGACGAGCCCACCUUGGCCAUCACCUUCUCCAGCCCCAUUGUGGCAGGUCCGGAGCUGGAAGUGAGCUUGGAUGGAGCCCCCCCGAUGGAAGGGAGCUGGCG